UGGCUCAGGAUGAACGCUGGCGGCGUGCCUAACACAUGCAAGUCGAACGGGACUAUCUGGAAGAUCUUUCGGAGUGAUUCCUGAUAGUUAGUGGCGGACGGGUGAGUAACGCGUGGAUAACCUGCCUUCACAGGGGGAUAGCAGCUGGAAACGGCUGGUAAUACCGCAUACGCUCAUAUCACCGCAUGGUGGUGUGAAGGAAAGAUUUAUCGGUGAAAGAUGGAUCCGCGUCUGAUUAGCCAGUUGGCGGGUAACGCCCACCAAAGCGACGAUCAGUAGCCGGCCUGAGAGGGCGGACGGCCACAUUGGGACUGAGACACGGCCCAGACUCCUACGGGAGGCAGCAGUGGGGGAUAUUGCACAAUGGGCGCAAGCCUGAUGCAGCGAACCGCCGCGUGAGUGAAGAAGUAUUUCGGUAUAGUAAAGCUCUAUCAGCGAGGGAAAGAAAGGUCCCGUUUUAGGGAGAUGACGGUACCUGACUAAGAACGCCCCGGCUAACUACGUGCCAGCCGCAGC
rnacentral:rRNA from 1 species